rnacentral:rRNA from 1 species
AUGUGCGGAAAUCUGUCAUCUAUCUCUUCAAACUUCUGGUGGGGUGAAGCGGACGGUCAUAAGAAAGUGCAUUGGAUUGGAUGGAAAAAAAUGUGUACACGUAAGCAGGAGGGAGGCCUUGGGUUUCGGGACCCGAAGGCUUUCAACCAAGCAAUGCUAGCCAAGGAGGCAUGGCGAUUGCUUCAGGUGCCAAACUCGUUAUGUGGAAGGGUACUAAAGGCACGGUAUUUUCCUGAUGGAUCAAUACUGAAUGCUACAUGUCCCACUGGGGGCUCUUAUACCUUCCGGAGCAUAUUGCAUGGCCGCGACCUGCUUAAUGACGGGCUAAUAUGGCGGAUCGGUGACGACUCUCGAAUCUCCAUCCACCACGACAACUGGAUUCCGAGGAAAGGCAGUCUGAGGCCACUGGGCCAGAUUUACAUCAACGGCAUCACUCGAGUAGGGGAUCUACUUGAGGAUGAUGGCUACUCGUGGGACAGAAACAAGUUACAUGCGAUGUUCCCCCCGGAUGAAGCGAAUGAGAUACUACAAAUCCCGGUGGGGGGGCAAGAUGUUCAGGAUUACUUGUCGUAG